rnacentral:rRNA from 1 species
AAGUCUGACCGAGCAACGCCGCGUGAGUGAAGAAGGUUUUCGGAUCGUAAAACUCUGUUGGUAGAGAAGAACGUUGGUGAGAGUGGAAAGCUCAUCAAGUGACGGUAACUACCCAGAAAGGGACGGCUAACUACGUGCCAGCAGCCGCGGUAAU